UACGUAGGGGGCAAGCGUUGUCCGGAAUCAUUGGGCGUAAAGCGCGCGUAGGCGGCCCGGUAAGUCCGCUCUGAAAGUCCAGGGCUUAACCCUGGAAAGCGGGUGGAUACUGCCGGGCUUGAAUCCGGAAGAGGCGAGUGGAAUUCCUGGUGUAGCGGUGGAAUGCGCAGAUAUCAGGAGGAACACCAAUAGCGAAGGCAGCUCGCUGGGACGGUAUUGACGCUAAGGCGCGAAAGCAUGGGGAGCAAACAGG
rnacentral:rRNA from 1 species